GGCUAUAGCUCAGUGGUAGAGCACUUGCCUAGCAUGUGUGAGGCACUGGGUUUGAUUCUCAGCACCA
rnacentral:tRNA from 1 species